rnacentral:rRNA from 1 species
AACGAACGCUGGCGGCAGGCCUAACACAUGCAAGUCGAGCGAAGCCUUCGGGCUUAGCGGCGGACGGGUAAGUAACGCGUGGGAACGUGCCCUUUGGUACGGAAUAGCCCCGGGAAACUGGGAGUAAUACCGUAUGUGGUCGAGAGACGAAAGAUUUAUCGCCAAAGGAUCGGCCCGCGUUGGAUUAGGUAGUUGGUGGGGUAAUGGCCUACCAAGCCGACGAUCCAUAGCUGGUUUGAGAGGAUGAUCAGCCACACUGGGACUGAGACACGGCCCAGACUCCUACGGGAGGCAGCAGUGGGGAAUCUUAGACAAUGGGGGAAACCCUGAUCUAGCCAUGCCGCGUGAUCGAUGAAGGCCUUAGGGUUGUAAGGAUCUUUCAGUGGGGAAGAUAAUGACUGUACCCACAGAAGAAGCCCCGGCUAACUCCGUGACAGCAGCCGCAGUAAAAC